UGUGGUGUAGGCUGGCAGCUGUAGCUCUGAUUCGACCCCUAGCCUGGGAACCUCCAUGUGAAGCAGAUGUGGCCCUAAAAAGACAUAAGACAAAAAGGAAAAAAGAAAACGGUAAACUCAUAAUCUAUCUUAGCCAGUCAUAAACAUGUUUUUCAACUUAAAAUUUUCUUAGAAUUCUUUCACUUUACAGAUGUAUUCAUUGGGUCCUUAAAGGACAUUGAGAAAUUACGGACUUAAACCGAUUCAUUUACAGACAAAGACACCAGCUCUUAGAAAGGUUAAUUGACCAAAGUUACUGAGCUAACUGGAUUUAAUCAUCUACUAUUCCUGAAGUCCUCCCAGCACUAAUGCAUAAUUACGCAAGCCAGAAAUGUGUGUUAGCAACUGUGACACCCAAACAGGGCCAUCUGUUUCUCGCAAACAGACACCUCAUGCAUCCGGGACUUCUGGCAAUUCUGAGCAAGCCCAGAGGGAAGGGAUCUCUAAACAUUAAAGAGACUUAUUCAGGAUCUCUGGUAAGCUCUUCUUGACUCUGCUUGAUUCAAUAAACAUUUAUUAAGCACCUACGAGGGGUACACCGAGACACAGAAGUACAGGAGACUCAAUUAAUCCCGACUGGGAUAUCCGAAAAAUCUUCACGAAAGAGCAGUUUUAAAGAGGGCUUUUGAAGGCAUUCAGUGCACAGCUGAGAAACAUGAAAGACCUUUUCAGAGGGAGAGGACGGGGACUUUAGCUCUAAGGAGAUGGUCAUGGCAGCUCUUCAGCAUGAGGAGGUCCUCAGGUCCAUGAUGCAUACAGUCCCUGAGAGAGCUGGCUUUAACCAACAAGGCAUUAGUGGAAAAGCAAUAAUGCAGCUAUGCAUGGACCCAAUUUGGUCUCGCUGACCAGCCUGCUGCAAUCAGAACUGUUGAAGGCUGUGUGUGUCUAGCACUACUCCGGACCCUUUGCUCCAGAGGCCCCUCCCUUUCUGUGGCGCCUGUCCCCAACAAAAGCCAAACAGAAUACAGGCAAACUGACCAAUUGACAAAACUGCUACCCAGCUCUCCACCCUGUUCCAAGUCAGAGGAAUGACUGGACAAUGUGUUCCGAUCCACCUACUAUUCAGCCUCCUCCACUGCUCUCAGGCUUUGUUACUGAGCUUGUAAUCAUCUGUCUGUUCAUGAUCAUUUCUCAUCCUUGUGGCCCAAUGCUAGACCCUGCUUCUCUACUUUACACAUUUUGCAUCUCUUCUUGGCCAGGAGGUGGACUCUCUCCCAAGCCAUGGUCCUGCUACUGCCCUGGGUAAAUAGCUUGUCCCAUCCCGACCGCAGGCCCUGAUGCUCAACACGGAGCCGCGGCAUGGAGCGUGAUGGAGGUGAUGCACAUGAGGACCCCAGCAGAGCAGCUGCGAGGAGCCCUGAUUAACAGAUGUCCCUUCACCAAAGCGUCUAUGAAGGGCUCCUGCAGGGAAGCCCCUGGAGAGAACCAAGCAGCCUCUGAAGGCUGAGGGGAGCCCUGGAAGCUUCUGAGCAUCUGAGAGCUGCCUCUGUCACUGAGUAUGAAGAAUAAUGGUGCAUUGACAACAGAGAUCCUCCUAUUGGAAGGCGGGGAGAUACCAAAAAUAUGCCAAAGAUAGUCACUUGGGUUAGAAAACAUGGUUUAAAUUUCAAAUCUUGGUUCUGGCACUUUCUAAUUUGCAUGCUCUUGGGCAUUUGCUGUAAUGGUCUAAGCCUCCACUUUCUGAUAAGGGUAAUUCCAGUUCCUAACUCCAGGGCUAGUAUACGGUGCCAUAAAAUGUUUGGAAAGCAUUUAGCAUACUGCCUGGAAGCAUGCGCAUUCCCAAUAUUUAGAAGCUAUUGUUAUUUGUGCUAUUAUUAAUUUUUUUUUUCUUUGAGGAGGCCCUUCCCUCCAGGCUCCUCUCUGCAUCAGAACACACUGCCUUGGGAAGAGAUGGGAGAGAAAGGGAACCAAGAGCUGGUCAGCCAAACCACCACAAUCAACUUUGGCAGUCGAGGAGGCAACAGAUGCUGGAGCCAGACUGCUCUUACAACUUGAGCUGCUUUUACAACUUAGUUGCUGUCUCCACCCCACUCCAUAAUUCCAGUGUGAUAACAUCAGGGGAGAGGGUGGAGACUGUUGAUUUUUCUCUAGAUAGUCCUUACAGAGGAGAAAGAACAAUUUCCUGCUUGGGAUGUGUAAGGCAUGGAGAUCCCACCCACUUGGCUGGGGCUCCAGCUGAACAGAAAUGGCCCUUCAGACCUCAGGUCUGCAGCCACCUGGUACCCAUACUGCUGUGUAUUCUCUUAUACCUGCCUCGUCUGUGGAUAUAGCAGCCCAUGUCCUUGGCUAUACAAUGGAAUCCAAUUUGGUGCUUUACCUCUCAGGACAAAGGGAUGGUUUGCCCUCAAGCUUAAUGGAGUGUAAGUCAAGUUGGAUAAUUCAAAAAUAUUUUGUUCUCUCUAUAGUAAGCUUUUUUUUUUUUGGCUAUGCCUGCAGCAUGUGGAAGUUCCAGGGCCAGGGAUCGAAUCUGAGCCAGAAGAGUGACCCAAGCCACAGCAGCGACAACAGAUCGUUAACCACUAGACCACCUUGGAACUCCCUCUAAUCAGUAUUUUAUACGUGGUUAUCAAUAUCACAUUAUGAAACCUGUUUCUAAUUAGUGCCAAUGAUGUUUUCCACUCAAGAUUUUCCUCAGAUCAAACAGAUUCUCUGGAGCAAAGAAAAUACUGCCUCCUCGAAUUCCCCAUUUUAAUAUUUACUUUGCUCAGAUUAUCUAUAGAGAUGUGACUGUAGGAAACAGCAUUUUACAGUGAUAAGCAUGAAUGGUGAUCUUUCCUAACUAAUCCCCAACCUGUAUCUCAAAUUUGAAUAGAACACCGUUAGAGGGUAUGGUAUUUGCAGAUCAGUUGAUUAUAGUUAAGCAAUGGCAUGCAGGUUUUCUUGCAUAAUGCAUAUAUUUGCAUGGAGGAUGUGCAAUUCUACCCUUUGUUUUCACAGAUGGUUUUUAUAAACAAAAGCCUGCCAUAAAAGGGAAAGGUAUCUGGGUAUUUAUGCGUAAAAAUAUCAGGUGAUCUCAGGGAACACACAUUUGUUUCUGAGGUGUCAAUGACACUCCCGAGUCACAGAGGGCAGCAAAGAGAUUCAAGGUGAAAAUGAUGGUGUGAGUUUGAUGUUUGGACUGGUGGCCAGAAGGGACAAGCUGGACUAGCUUGGUACGUUUUUGCCAAAUGAGAUGGCAAAAGACUGAUUUUUCUGAAAGAUGUUUCUUAGAUCUAAAAUUUUAAAAGCUCAAACUCAGACUUGUUUUACUUGAGGUUUAUAGAUUAUGUCUUCGUGGGUAUUUUAAAGGAAAAUUUUCUGGGAGUUCCCAUCGUGGCUAGUGGUUAACAAAUCCGACUAGGAACCAUGAGUUUGCGGGUUGGAUCCCUGGCCAUGCUCAGUGGGUUAAGGAUCUGGCAUUGCCAUGAGCUGUGGUGUAGGUCAGCAGCUGUGGAGGAGGCUCGGAUCCUGCAUUGCUGUGGCUGUGGCAUAGGCCAGCAGCUGCUGCUCUGAUUCGACACCUAGCUUGGGAACCUCCAAAUGCUGUGGGAAGCGGCCCUAGAAAAGGCAAAGAUAACAAAAAAAUAAAGUCUAUUGAUACCAUGGAGUGAUUAGUAGGUAUAAAACUGACCAUAUGUAAACUCUGAUCACUAUGACCUUGGAAGAGUAUUAAGUAAAAAUUUAAGAAGUGGAGUUCCCAGCGUGGUGCAGUUGGAAAUGAAUCCUACUAAGAGCCAUGAGGUUGCGGGUUUGAUCCCUGGCCUCGCUCAGUGGGUUAGUGGGUUGAGGGUCUGGCAUUGCCAUGAGCUGUGGUGUAGGUUUCAGAGGUGGCUCGGAUCCCACACCAUUGCUAUGGCUGUGGCGUAGGCCAGCGGCUACAGCUCCAACUGGACCAACUGAUGUAUAGCCUGGGAACUUCCCUAUGCCGUGGGUGCAGCCCUAAAAAUACCAAAAAAAAAAAAAAAAAAAAAAAAGAAGAAGAAUUUAAACCCUGAUAUGCAGGCCUUUCUUGGGUGAAAGGAAAGAGGAAAGGGGUGUGUGGGCCCUUUGUUGGGUCAAAUGUCAUUAUUGGGACAGAGAAGAAAGUGAAGGACAUCUUAAAAAAAAAAAAAAGAAAAAGAAAAGAAAAGAAAAAAGGAGUUCCCGUCAUAGCGCAGUGGUUAACGAAUCCCACUAGGAACCAUGAGGUUGCGGGUUCGGUCCCUACCCUUGCUCAGUGGGUUAAGGAUCUGGCGUUGCCGUGAGCUGGGGUGUAGGUGGCAGACGUGGCUUGGAUCCCGCGUUGCUGUGGCUCUGGCGUAGGCUGGCGGCUAUAGCUCCGAUUCGACCCCUAGCCUGGGAACCUCCAUAUGCCACAGGAGCGCCCCAAGAAAUGGCAAAAAGACAAAAAAAAAAAAAAAAAAAAA